GUCCCUGUAGCACAAUGAAUAGCACGUUGGACUUUUAAUCCAAAGGUCAUGGGUUGGAAUCCCAUCUGGGAUG
rnacentral:tRNA from 1 species